AUACGGAGGGUGCAAGCGUUACUCGGAAUCACUGGGCGUAAAGCGCGCGCAGGCGGCUAUUUAAGUUGAAUGUGAAAGCCUACGGCUCAACCGUAGAACUGCAUCCAAAACUAUUUAGCUAGAGUGUGGGAGAGGAAGAUGGAAUUAGUUGUGUAGGGGUAAAAUCCGUAGAGAUAACUAGGAAUACCAAAAGCGAAGGCAAUCUUCUGGAACACUACUGACGCUGAGGCGCGAAAGCGUGGGGAGCAAACAGGAUUAGAAACCCCAGUAGUCC
rnacentral:rRNA from 1 species